GACGAACGCUGGCGGCGUGCUUAACACAUGCAAGUCGAACGGAAAGGCCCUGCUUUUGUGGGGUGCUCGAGUGGCGAACGUGUGAGUAACACGUGAGUAACCUGCCCUUGACUUUGGGAUAACUUCAGGAAACUGGGGCUAAUACCGGAUAGGAUCUCCUGCUGCAUGGUGGGGGUUGGAAAGUUUCGGCGGUUGGGGAUGGACUCGCGGCUUAUCAGCUUGUUGGUGGGGUAGUGGCUUACCAAGGCUUUGACGGGUAGCCGGCCUGAGAGGGUGACCGGCGACAUUGGGACUGAGAUACGGCACAGACUCCUACGGGAGGCAGCAGUGGGGAAUAUUGCACAAUGGGCGGAAGCCUGAUGCAGAAACGCCGCGUGCGGGAUGACGGCCUUCGGGUUGUAAACCGCUUUCGCCUGUGACGAAGCGUGAGUGACGGUAAUGGGUAAAGAAGCACCGGCUAACUACGUG
rnacentral:rRNA from 1 species